AUGCGUAGGGGGCGAGCGUUGUCCGGAAUGAUUGGGCGUAAAGGGCGCGUAGGCGGCCCGGUAAGUCUGGAGUGAAAGUCCUGCUUUUAAGGUGGGAAUUGCUUUGGAUACUGUCGGGCUUGAGUGCAGGAGAGGUAAGUGGAAUUCCCAGUGUAGCGGUGAAAUGCGUAGAGAUUGGGAGGAACACCAGUGGCGAAGGCGACUUACUGGACUGUAACUGACGCUGAGGCGCGAAAGUGUGGGGAGCAAACAGGAUUAGAUACCCUGGUAGUCCACACUGUAAACGAUGAAUGCUAGGUGUAGGGGGUAUCGACCCCUUCUGUGCCGCAGUUAACACAAUAAGCAUUCCGCCUGGGGAGUACGGCCGCAAGGUUGAAACUCAAAUGAAUUGACGGGG
rnacentral:rRNA from 1 species